ACGAACGCUGGCGGCGUGCCUAAUACAUGCAAGUAGAACGCUGAAGAGAGGAGCUUGCUCUUCUUGGAUGAGUUGCGAACGGGUGAGUAACGCGUAGGUAACCUGCCUUGUAGCGGGGGAUAACUAUUGGAAACGAUAGCUAAUACCGCAUAACAAUAGGUGACACAUGUCAUUUAUUUGAAAGGGGCAAUUGCUCCACUACAAGAUGGACCUGCGUUGUAUUAGCUAGUAGGUGAGGUAACGGCUCACCUAGGCGACGAUACAUAGCCGACCUGAGAGGGUGAUCGGCCACACUGGGACUGAGACACGGCCCAGACUCCUACGGGAGGCAGCAGUAGGGAAUCUUCGGCAAUGGGGGCAACCCUGACCGAGCAACGCCACGUGAGUGAAGAAGGUUUUCGGAUCGUAAAGCUCUGUUGUAAGUCAAGAACGAGUGUGAGAGUGGAAAGUUCACACUGUGACGGUAGCUUACCAGAAAGGGACGGCUAACUACGUGCCAGCAGCCGCGGUAAUACGUAGGUCCCGAGCGUUGUCCGGAUUUAUUGGGCGUAAAGCGAGCGCAGGCGGUUUGAUAAGUCUGAAGUUAAAGGCUGUGGCUCAACCAUAGUUCGCUUUGGAAACUGUCAAACUUGAGUGCAGAAGGGGAGAGUGGAAUUCCAUGUGUAGCGGUGAAAUGCGUAGAUAUAUGGAGGAACACCGGUGGCGAAAGCGGCUCUCUGGUCUGUAACUGACGCUGAGGCUCGAAAGCGUGGGGAGCGAACAGGAUUAGAUACCCUGGUAGUCCACGCCGUAAACGAUGAGUGCUAGGUGUUGGAUCCUUUCCGGGAUUCAGUGCCGCAGCUAACGCAUUAAGCACUCCGCCUGGGGAGUACGACCGCAAGGUUGAAACUCAAAGGAAUUGACGGGGGCCCGCACAAGCGGUGGAGCAUGUGGUUUAAUUCGAAGCAACGCGAAGAACCUUACCAGGUCUUGACAUCCCGAUGCUAUUUCUAGAGAUAGAAAGUUACUUCGGUACAUCGGUGACAGGUGGUGCAUGGUUGUCGUCAGCUCGUGUCGUGAGAUGUUGGGUUAAGUCCCGCAACGAGCGCAACCCCUAUUGUUAGUUGCCAUCAUUCAGUUGGGCACUCUAGCGAGACUGCCGGUAAUAAACCGGAGGAAGGUGGGGAUGACGUCAAAUCAUCAUGCCCCUUAUGACCUGGGCUACACACGUGCUACAAUGGUUGGUACAACGAGUUGCGAGUCGGUGACGGCAAGCUAAUCUCUUAAAGCCAAUCUCAGUUCGGAUUGUAGGCUGCAACUCGCCUACAUGAAGUCGGAAUCGCUAGUAAUCGCGGAUCAGCACGCCGCGGUGAAUACGUUCCCGGGCCUUGUACACACCGCCCGUCACACCACGAGAGUUUGUAACACCCGAAGUCGGUGAGGUAACCUUUUGGAGCCAGCCGCCUAAGGUGGGAUAGAUGAUUGGGGUG
rnacentral:rRNA from 1 species